rnacentral:rRNA from 1 species
UAAGGAAUAUUGGUCAAUGGACGGAAGUCUGAACCAGCCAUGCCGCGUGGAGGAUGAAGGUCCUCUGGAUUGUAAACUUCUUUUAUAGGGGGCGAAAAAGGGCCAAUCGUGGUCAACUGACGGUACCCUAUGAAUAAGCACCGGCUAACUCCGUGCCAGCAGCCGCGGUAAUACGGAGGGUGCAAGCGUUAUCCGGAUUUACUGGGUUUAAAGGGAGCGUAGGCGGGCAUUUAAGUCUGUGGUGAAAGCCCUCAGCUCAACUGAGGAACUGCCAUGGAUACUAUUUGUCUUGAAUAUCGUUGAGGUUUGCGGAAUGGGUCAUGUAGCGGUGAAAUGCAUAGAUAUGACCCGGAACACCGAUUGCGAAGGCAGCAGGCUAAACGAUAAUUGACGCUGAGGC